rnacentral:rRNA from 1 species
CCUACGAGCGGUAGCAGUGAGGAAUAUUGGUCAAUGGACGCAAGUCUGAACCAGCCAUGCCGCGUGCAGGAAGACGGCUCUAUGAGUUGUAAACUGCUUUUGUACGAGGGUAAACGCAGAUACGCGUAUCUGUCUGAAAGUAUCGUACGAAUAAGGAUCGUCUAACUCCGUGCCAGCAGCCGCGGUACUACGUAGGAUUCAAGCGUUAUCCGGAUUUAUUGGGGUUAACGGGUGCGUAGGCGGUCGGAUAAGUUAGAGGUGAAAUCCCGGGGCUCAAACUCGGAAUUGCCUCUGAUACUGUUCGGCUAGAGAGGAGUUGCGGUAGGCGGAAUGUAUGGUGUAGCGGUGAAAUGCUUAGAGAUCGUACAGAACACCGAUUGCGAAGGCAGCUUACCAGGUCACUUCUGACGUUGAGGCACGAAAGCGUGGGGAGCAAACAGGAUUAGAUACCCCUGUAGUC